rnacentral:tRNA from 1 species
GGAGGUGCUCAGGCUCAGCGGCAGAGUAUCGGUUUGGCAUGCAGAGGAUCCCAGGUUCCACUCAUGGCUUCUCCA